rnacentral:lncRNA from 1 species
CGCUGGUAAAGAGUUUAAGGCUAUUUGGGACUUUUAAAUGUUAGCUUUAAAGCACUCGUUCAUAAUGUUUGUUUCAAACAUCAAAUUAGUUUUCCCAAAUACAUCCAGAGCAGCUUGAACCAUUACAUUACUAUAGAUCCUCCUGGUGUGUGUAGACUCGUCGUACUCUCAGGAGUCAGUUCCCGCACAACGCUGCGGGCUUUUCUCGUUGCCACAGCAACAGCGUCAUUUCAUUCUGAAAACAAAGCGCCGUCGAAUCCAGUGUUGUCACGUUGUCAGCUUAACCGUUGUGUUUAACCGCAUGCUUGGAGAAAAUAAAUUCCGUUAACUUAGAAUCAUACACUUUGUUACUGGUACUGUUUUACAUAUCAGUUACACAUUCUAACGUGUUUGUAUUGCUGUGGUUUCACGCCGGUCAAACAAGUGCGCAUGCGCGUUUACGUCUGCGUCAGUAACGGCAUGGAUUCAGAGGGUUCUGCAGCAGACGUAAACAAUACCCCUGCAGAGAUGAUCUGCCAGCGGCAUGGACAAAAUAUGCAUGAUUCAGAGGCUUGCAGACUGUACACAGAUCCUGACAAUGAUGGAAGACCAAUUAGUAACACUCAGGAUUCAAGCGUGCAUCCACUCAUAGACAGAUCUGAGACUUUACAACUAGAGUUUCAGGAUAGCCAGGUGUCACCUGCACUUACCCUGCUUCCCUGCCUGGACCAGUCUCACCUUCUUUCUGACUCCACAUUUUCUCAGCAUACAGAUGCAGAAUUUGCCCCUCUUCGGUAUUGUCUGUUUAGUCAUGUUCAAGUUUUUCUUGACCUUUUUGUAUUUUUAGAUAAUAUUUUCUCUUUUGUGUGUGUGUGUGUACACAGGGGUAUUUCCUGUACUUCUCUAGUUAUGUCUGAGAGAUCGCCCCAGGACUUCAAAUGUAGCUGUAACUGAUGAUUCUCACCUACCAAAUACUAGGUACCAACAGCCCUGUCAGAAGGUGAAAAAAGCUGCUUUUCACUGUCCCAGCACAGCCUGUCACCUGGAGACCAUUCCAAAGGGCUUGAGGACCACAAGAGUGUUUCAUAUGGUGCUG